AUUGAACGCUGGCGGCACGCUUAACACAUGCAAGUCGAACGGCAGCACAAAGAGCUUGCUCUUGGGUGGCGAGUGGCGGACGGGUGAGUAAUGCGUAGGAAUCUACCGUAGAGAGGGGGGAUAACUCGGGGAAACUCGGGCUAAUACCGCAUACUGUCUGAGGACAAAAGGUGGCGCCUUCGGGGCUACCGCUUUAUGAUGAGCCUACGUCGGAUUAGCUAGUUGGUAGGGUAAAGGCCUACCAAGGCAACGAUCCGUAGCUGGUCUGAGAGGAUGAUCAGCCACACUGGGACUGAGACACGGCCCAGACUCCUACGGGAGGCAG
rnacentral:rRNA from 1 species